rnacentral:rRNA from 1 species
UUAGUUGGUGGAGUGAUUUGUCUGCUUAAUUGCGAUAACGAACGAGACCUUAACCUACUAAAUAGUUACGCGUACCUCCGGGUACGUGGCCAACUUCUUAGAGGGACUUUACAAGUCAAUUGUACGGAAGUUUGAGGCAAUAACAGGU